CAAAAAGUAACACUUCUUACUUUUUUAAAGCUGUAUUAUUUUCUAGAUGAAAGUAAGACACUUGUUUCACCCUGAAAGACAAUAAUGAUUCUCACACCAUGUAGGAUGUUCUUUUAUGUCUCUUUGACAGUCAUCAUUCCAGAAAAAGUUUCCUUAGUUGAAGAACCCCCAUCUGCACAAUUACCUGGACCAACAGCAUAUUCUUCAACAACCAAGGAGGAGUUCAUAGCAAGCUUCUUCCACCUUCCACCUGACUCUGGCUCAACUCUGUGAGGCGGGCAAGUUCUGUUAUAUUGGCCAAUCCUAAACUGCUUCUGCUCUUCCAACCACAUGGUCCGUAAGCACUUCCAGGUAAGGCAGAAAUUCUAUGCCAUAUGGCUCUUUGGUCUUUGCAGCGCCCCGGUCGGCACCCACAGUACCCAACAGAGAUAAAGAACUCUAAGUACUAUGGUGCCCUGUGGAAAUCCAGGACUCUGCUGCAACGCAGGGGAGCUGCCAUCUAGCAUUUUGGGGGAGGCAGUGCCCUAAAGAAGCUGCCUUCCCCCAUCCUUCCAUCUCUUGGGUGUCCCAGUUGGAUUGGGCUGCCAGCUGUCCCCUACGAUAUAUAAAUAUAGUUACCACCACUGAGCUCCAAACCUCAGGCACAAUAUCACCCAAUACCAUCCCCGGUUCAAUUAAAGAUUUUAUUUGCACAAAUAGCUCACCAAGUGUGCACAAACAAAAAACCACAAAUACAAUCAAGUGAAUCAUUGUUUUCUCCUUCUGCUCCUCCUGUUGAGUGUCACCUGCUGCCUCACAACUCUGACUCCCCCAAAGUGAGGUAGUGGGCUCAUUUUAAGCUGAACCUGGGAACACUUCAAGUGCAAUUGUAUGUGUUCUUGAAAGCAUGUGGCAACCAGGGAGCUCCUACCCUGACAGAGCCCUUUAACAGCACCCAGGAGACCCAAUAGGUAUGUUCUCCCAGACUCCAACACCCACGCACCCCUGCAGGCGUCCAAACUGGGACACCUUAGAAGGAUCUCUGCCGCCUGUCAUAAGAUGAAUGGAACUUUGAAGCUAUUUGUCAGAAACUGAUAUUGGUGUGUAGUUUGAUUUUUCACAUAUCAUAAUGUGUAUUGAUUGAUGGUCAUUUUGCAAAAGGUUGUUAAUUUCUGGAAUGUUCUUAACUUCGCAGUCACCAAGUACACUGCAAAAAAAUCUAAGCAUGUAAAAAGAACUUGU